rnacentral:rRNA from 1 species
AGAGUUUGAUCAUGGCUCAGAGCGAACGCUGGCGGCAGGCUUAACACAUGCAAGUCGAACGGGCGUAGCAAUACGUCAGUGGCAGACGGGUGAGUAACACGUGGGAACGUACCCUUUGGUUCGGAACAACACAGGGAAACUUGUGCUAAUACCGGAUAAGCCCUUACGGGGAAAGAUUUAUCGCCGAAGGAUCGGCCCGCGUCUGAUUAGCUUGUUGGUGAGGUAAUGGCUCACCAAGGCGACGAUCAGUAGCUGGUCUGAGAGGAUGAUCAGCCACACUGGGACUGAGACACGGCCCAGACUCCUACGGGAGGCAGCAGUGGGGAAUAUUGGACAAUGGCGCAAGCCUGAUCCAGCCAUGCCGCGUGAGUGAUGAAGGCCCUAGGGUUGUAAAGCUCUUUUGGCGGGGAAGAUAAUGACGGCACCCGCAGAAUAAGCCCCGGCUAACUUCGUG